UACGUAGGGGGCAAGCGUUGUCCGGAAUUAUUGGGCGUAAAGAGCUCGUAGGCGGCUUAGUAAGUCGGCGGUGAAAUACCGAGGCUCAACCUCGGCACUGCCGUCGAUACUGCUAUGGCUAGAGUUUGGUAGAGGAGAACGGAAUUCCCGGUGUAGCGGUGAAAUGCGUAGAGAUCGGGAGGAACAUCCGUGGCGAAGGCGGCCAUCUGGAUCAACACUGACGCUGAGGCACGAAAGCGUGGGGAGCAAACAGG
rnacentral:rRNA from 1 species